UCAAAACUUGGAGAAUGGUGGCUUA
rnacentral:piRNA from 1 species